UGACUUAGCGGCGGACGGGUGAGUAACGCGUGGGCAACCUGCCUUACACAGGGGGAUAACAAUUAGAAAUGAUUGCUAAUACCGCAUAAGACCCCAGUACCGCAUGGUACAGGGGUAAAAACUGAGGUGGUGUAAGAUGGGCCCGCGUCUGAUUAGGUAGUUGGUGGGGUAGGAGCCUACCAAGCCGACGAUCAGUAGCCGACCUGAGAGGGCGACCGGCCACAUUGGGACUGAGACACGGCCCAAACUCCUACGGGAGGCAGCAG
rnacentral:rRNA from 1 species